rnacentral:rRNA from 1 species
GCCUACGGGUGGCAGCAGUGGGGAAUAUUGGACAAUGGGCGAAAGCCUGAUCCAGCCAUGCCGCGUGUGUGAAGAAGGCCUUCGGGUUGUAAAGCACUUUCAGUGGGGAAGAAAGCCUUGGGGCUAAUACCCUCGAGGAAGGACAUCACCCACAGAAGAAGCACCGGCUAACUCCGUGCCAGCAGCCGCGGUAAUACGGAGGGUGCGAGCGUUAAUCGGAAUUACUGGGCGUAAAGCGCGCGUAGGCGGUCUGAUAAGCCGGUUGUGAAAGCCCCGGGCUCAACCUGGGAACGGCAUCCGGAACUGUCAGGCUAGAGUGCAGGAGAGGAAGGUAGAAUUCCCGGUGUAGCGGUGAAAUGCGUAGAGAUCGGGAGGAAUACCAGUGGCGAAGGCGGCCUUCUGGACUGACACUGACGCUGAGGUGCGAAAGCGUGGGUAGCAAACAGGAUUAGAUACCCUAGUAGUC